rnacentral:rRNA from 1 species
UGCUGCAUGGCUGUCGUCAGCUCGUGUCGUGAGAUGUUGGGUUAAGUCCCGCAACGAGCGCAACCCUUGCCUUUAGUUGCCAGCAGUUCGGCUGGGCACUCUAAAGGGACUGCCGGUGUUAAACCGGAGGAAGUGGGGAUGACGUCAAGUCCUCAUGGCCUUUAUGACCAGGGCUACACACGUACUACAAUGGCCGAUACAAAGGGCAGCGACACUGCGAGGUGAAGCCAAUCCCGUAAAAUCGGUCUCAGUCCGGAUUGGAGUCUGCAACUCGACUCCAUGAAGUUGGAAUCGCUAGUAAUCGUGGAUCAGCAUGCCACGGUGAAUACGUUCCCGGGCCUU